AGAGUUUGAUCCUGGCUCAGGAUAAACGCUGGCGGCGUGCCUAACACAUGCAAGUCGAACGCUCUCAUGAAAGUGAGAGAGUGGCGGACGGGUGAGUAACACGUGGGUCAUCUAGCUUUCGGUGAGGGAUACCGGCGAGAAAUCGCCGACAAACCCGCAUGAGUUUCGAAAGAAAGAAAGCCGUAAGGUGCCGAAAGAUG
rnacentral:rRNA from 1 species